CGCGAAGAACCUUACCAAGUCUUGACAUCCUUUGACCACCCUAGAGAUAGGGCUUUCCCUUCGGGGACAAAGUGACAGGUGGUGCAUGGUUGUCGUCAGCUCGUGUCGUGAGAUGUUGGGUUAAGUCCCGCAACGAGCGCAACCCCUAUUAUUAGUUGCCAGCAUUCAGUUGGGCACUCUAAUGAGACUGCCGGUGACAAACCGGAGGAAGGUGGGGAUGACGUCAAAUCAGCAUGCCCCUUAUGACUUGGGCUACACACGUGCUACAAUGGAUGGUACAACGAGUCGCAAACCCGCGAGGGCAAGCAAAUCUCUUAAAGCCAUUCUCAGUUCGGAUUGCAGGCUGCAACUCGCCUGCAUGAAGCCGGAAUCGCUAGUAAUCGUGGAUCAGCACGCCACGGUGAAUACGUUCCCGGGUCUUGUACACACC
rnacentral:rRNA from 1 species